rnacentral:rRNA from 1 species
CCUGGUUGAUCCUGCCAGUAGCAUAUGCUUGUCUCAAAGAUUAAGCCAUGCAUGUCUAAGUACAAGCCGCUAGACGGCGAAACCGCGAAUGGCUCAAUAAAUCAGUUAUGGUUCCUUAGAUCCACUCCAUCCUACUUGGAUAACUGUGGUAAUUCUAGAGCUAAUACAUGCCCUCGAGCCUCGACUGCGCCCGCUUCGCGGCGGGUGCAGAAGAGGUGCUUUUAUUAGAUCAAAACCAGUCGGGGAGAGCGGGGCCCACCGUCGCGCGACCCGUACCAAUUUUGGUGACUCUGGAUAACUUCACGCCGAUCGCAUGUCCUUCGAGCCGGCGACGUAUCCUUCAAAUGUCUGCCUUAUCAACUGUCGAUGGUAGGUUACGCGCCUACCAUGGUUGCUACGGGUAACGGGGAAUCGGGGUUCGAUUCCGGAGAGGGAGCCUGAGAAACGGCUACCACAUCCAAGGAAGGCAGCAGGCGCGCAAAUUACCCACUCCCGGCACGGGGAGGUAGUGACGAAAAAUAACGAUACGGGACUCUUCCGAGGCCCCGUGAUUGGAAUGAGUACACUUUAAAUCCUUUAACGAGGAACCAUUGGAGGGCAAGUCUGGUGCCAGCAGCCGCGGUAACUCCAGCUCCAAUAGCGUAUAUUAAAGUUGUUGCGGUUAAAAAGCUCGUAGUCGGAUGUCUGUCUUCGGCCGGGCGGCGCCGCUCUGAAUCAAGGGUGUUGCGUUUCACGCUCUGGGAGCCCGAGUGUCAAAGCCCGACUCUCUUCACGGUCGGACAACAUCGCCGGAGUGGUGGCCGGUGGGUCGCGGUGUAUCGGUUCGCGUGGGUUUCGUUUUCUUCCUCUCGGGGUUCGCUCCGUCGAGGGGGGGGGGUGAUCGCUCGCGUUCAGUUGACGCGGUUCGCUCCACCCAGUCAAUCGUUCGGGGUGCCCUUCACCGGCUGUCUCGGGCGGCCGGCAACGUUUACUUUGAACAAAUUAGAGUGCUCAAAGCAGGUGUAUCCCAACGCCUGAAUAUCGCAGCAUGGAAUGAUGGAAUAGGACCUCGGUCCGAUUUUGCUGGUCUUUUCUUUUGGACCCGAGGUAAUGGUCAAUAGAGACGGACGGGGGCAUUCGUACUGCGGCGACAGAGGUGAAAUUCUUGGACCGCCGCAAGACGAACAACAGCGAAGGCAUUUGCCAAGAAUGUUUUCCUUGAUCAAGAACGAAAGUUAGAGGUUCGAAGGCGAUCAGAUACCGCCCUAGUUCUAACCAUAAACGAUGCCAACCAGCAAUCCGUCGGAGUUACUCCAAUGACUCGACGGGCAGCGUCCGGGAAACCAAAGUCUUUGGGUUCCGGGGGAAGUAUGGUUGGCANNNNNNGGUGGUGCAUGGCCGUUCUUAGUUGGUGGAGCGAUUUGUCUGGUUAAUUCCGAUAACGAACGAGACUCUAGCCUGCUAAAUAGGUGACGGGUUUUAUCAAUUGAAACCGAAGGGAGUACGGAGGCGUCGGGAUCAGGUGGCGGCGGUUCGGGUGGAAGGGGCCGGGUUCUUUAGCGGGCUCUUUUCGCGGCGUGGAUUCGGUUGGAAGCAAAAAGGAUGGGGGAGUUGGUGUUCGGGGUUUCGGCUCCGGGCGUUGGCUUUUCUUUUCUUGCGUUUCCUGCCGGGCUGCGUCGCGAGGGGGUUUUGCGGGGGCUCGGUCCUUUGUUUCUCGGUCGUCGUCAUCCCCGGCGAUACCUUCUGCUCUCGCGUCCGUCACGCAGUCUUCUUAGAGGGACAAGCGGCGCCCAGCCGCGUGACAGUGAGCAAUAACAGGUCUGUGAUGCCCUUAGAUGUCCUGGGCCGCACGCGCGCUACACUGAAGGAAUCAGCGUGUUUCACUCUCCCUGUCCGAAAGGACCGGGUAACCGCUGAACCUCCUUCGUGGUUGGGAUUGGGGACUGCAAUGAUCCCCAUGAACCAGGAAUCCCUAGUAGGCGCGGGUCACUAGCCCGCGUCGAUUACGUCCCUGCCCGUUGUACACACCGCCCGUCGCUACUACCGAUUGAAUGAUUUAGUGAGGCCUUCGGACGGGCUUGUCGGGGUGCCGUCGCGUGGGGAGCAAUCUCUGCGCGCGCGGUGCCUACCAACGGCGAGACUGAAAGAUGGUCGAACUUGAUCCUUUAGAGGAAGUAAAAGUCGUAACAAGGUUUCCGUAGGUGAACCUGCGGAAG